UACAUAUAUCAAAGUUACUGAUUUUUGUUGAUUUUGUUUUUCAUGUGGAACCCUAAAUCUUGGAUAAAAUCGGACUCCGAUCAUUCGUGAAACAACAGAGAUAUGCAUCCCUUGCACAACAGUCCUUCAUUUUUAAAGCUUAUUGAUGAAGAUGACCCGAUAUUUUUGGUGAAGAGCUUCUUUCAGACUCCUUCCCCUACAAGGAACUAUUGAAUGGGUUCCUAUGAGAAGUUGAAGAAAAGUUAUGGAUAAUGAAAACAAUGCUCCUACGUUAUUAAAGUCGAUUGAGGACUAUGAUCCUAUAUUUUUCGAAUUGUUCGUCGACCAAAAACAGUUAUGGAUCAUGAAAACAACGCUCCUUCAUUGUUAAAAUUGAUUGAGAACUAUGAUCCUAUAUUUUUUGU